AUUUUCAACAUCUGGGCAAUAUAUUCAAAUUAGUAGGCUUUACAUCUUAAUCUUGGAUUGUAAGACGCGAGGCGCUCAUGAAAAUGCAUCAUGGGCAAAAAUGUGCAACUCAUGUAGUUUUUGGUCAAAAUUGGUUAAACAUGGCCUGUGUGACAGUAUGAGGCUUAUAUCUAAUAAGUAAAAACAACUAAAGGGGUGAAAAAGUUGUAAAAGUUUACUUGACUAAUAGGCUGAUUUGUAAACAUAUUAGAUAGACACAACUUCUCGUUGUUAAUAAAGCUUAUUUUGGCUGUACAUAGAUGCACAAGGGUCUAAUUGUUUUGAGAAAGUAAGCUUACUAAUUACCAGUUCCUAUUUAAAUUUGGUGAGUGCAGUUAAAAGAAAGAGCUGAAAAGCUUGAAUAUCACAAACAAAGAGAGCAGAAAUUCACGGAGAAUAAGAAUGAGAAGAAGGAGCUACUGCGUCGCCAAAGUUCCGUAUGGAUUGAUGAAAAUGAACUCGAGAAAAAGAUAUUGAAUGCCAUUAUGGAUGAGUCCUAAGAACUCAAGAUGUAGACUUGAAGCACCCAUGCUGGUGUGAGGUCAAGAAACCUUUGAUUUUAUGGUUGUAAGUGCAAGCAUGCACACGGAAUAAGUCUAAAAAUGUGUUUCAUUGGUCUUUCACUUGUGGGCAUGAAUUGAAUUUUUUGUAUAUCAUUACGGUCGGAUGGUUGGUUGUUAG